rnacentral:rRNA from 1 species
AUUGAACGCUGGCGGCAUGCUUUACACAUGCAAGUCGGACGGCAGCACAGAGAAGCUUGCUUCUUGGGUGGCGAGUGGCGAACGGGUGAGUAACAUAUCGGAACGUACCGAGUAAUGGGGGAUAACUAAUCGAAAGAUUAGCUAAUACCGCAUAUUCUCUGAGGAGGAAAGCAGGGACCUUCGGGCCUUGCGUUAUUCGAGCGGCCGAUAUCUGAUUAGCUAGUUGGUGGGGUAAAGGCCUACCAAGGCAACGAUCAGUAGCGGGUCUGAGAGGAUGAUCCGCCACACUGGGACUGAGACACGGCCCAGACUCCUACGGGAGGCAGCAGUGGGGAAUUUUGGACAAUGGGCGCAAGCCUGAUCCAGCCAUGCCGCGUGUCUGAAGAAGGCCUUCGGGUUGUAAAGGACUUUUGUCAGGGAAGAAAAGGUUGUUGCUAAUAUCGACAGCUGAUGACG